AGGCAUAUGAGGACCCAGGGAGAAAACA
rnacentral:piRNA from 1 species